GCCUAACGCUGGCGGCGCGCCUAACACAUGCAAGUCGAGCGGAGAAAGACUUCGGUUUUUCUUAGCGGCGGACGGGUGAGUAACGCGUGAGUAACCUGCCCUUCAGAGGGGGAUAGCGUCUGGAAACGGACGAUAAUACCGCAUAACGUAUUGAGAAGACAUCUUUUUAAUACCAAAGGAGUAAUUCACUGAAGGAUGGACUCGCGUCCGAUUAGGUAGUUGGUGAGGUAACGGCCCACCAAGCCGACGAUCGGUAGCCGGACUGAGAGGUUGAUCGGCCACAUUGGGACUGAGACACGGCCCAGACUCCUACGGGAGGCAGCAGUGGGGGAUAUUGCACAAUGGAGGAAACUCUGAUGCAGCGACGCCGCGUGAGGGAAGAAGGUCUUCGGAUUGUAAACCUCUGUCUUUGGGGACGAAAGAAAUGACGGUACCCAAGGAGGAAGCCACGGCUAACUACGUGCCAGCAGCCGCGGUAAUACGUAGGUGGCGAGCGUUGUCCGGAAUUACUGGGUGUAAAGGGUGCGCAGGCGGGAUGUCAAGUUGGAUGUGAAAUCUCUAGGCUUAACCUAGAGUGUGCAUUCAAAACUGGCGUUCUUGAGUGAAGCAAAGGUAGGCGGAAUUCCCGGUGUAACCGGUGAAAAUGCCUAAAAGAUUCGGGAAGGAACCACCUAAAAA
rnacentral:rRNA from 1 species